AGACAUGAGGGCUAUCUAGGUGUGAUGUCUGCCAUCCCAACCUAUGGAUUGCCAGGACUGAUUCAGCUGACCUGACUGGCUAGGCUGAUGUUUUCUUCCUUCCUCACUGCCUCAUAGAUAUCCCUCCUAAGGAUUCAUGCUGGGUCAGAGAGGACAACUUUCCCAGGCAGAAGGGAACCAUGCUUUGGUCAAGAUGAGUAAGUAGCUGAAGCCUACUAAAACCUCCUAAGAAAAUCUCAACUAAGUUAAGGCAACAAAAAAUGUGUUUCUAGCCUUUAAGAAUCUCGGAGGGUGAGCAUGGUCAUUUAUAUCUACAAAGUGCUUUAGCCAUAAAAUGUCUUAGUGC
rfam:Mesocricetus auratus contig019894, whole genome shotgun sequence.